GACGAACGCUGGCGGCGUGCUUAACACAUGCAAGUCGAACGGAAAGGCCCCUUUGGGGGUACUCGAGUGGCGAACGGGUGAGUAACACGUGAGUAACCUGCCCUUGACUUCGGGAUAACUUCAGGAAACUGGGGCUAAUACCGGAUAGGAAUCCUUGCUGCAUGGUGGGGGUUGGAAAGCUUCGGCGGUUUUGGAUGGACUCGCGGCUUAUCAGCUUGUUGGUGGGGUAGUGGCUUACCAAGGCUUUGACGGGUAGCCGGCCUGAGAGGGCGACCGGCCACAUUGGGACUGAGAUACGGCCCAGACUCCUACGGGAGGCAGCAGUGGGGAAUAUUGCACAAUGGGCGGAAGCCUGAUGCAGCAACGCCGCAUGCGGGAUGACGGCCUUCGGGUUGUAAACCGCUUUCAGCAGGGGCGAAGCUUGUGGUGACGGUACCUGCAGAAGAAGCACCGGCUAACUACGUG
rnacentral:rRNA from 1 species